AACAUGGGUGACCUGGCCCCAAGUGAGGGAUACCGGCGAGAAAUUGCCGACAAGCCCGCAUGGGUUCGCUCUGGUAGAGCGGAGCGAGCAAAGUCGCAAGACGCUUUGGGAUGGGCCUGUGGCCGAUUAGCUAGUUGGGGGGGUAAGAGCCUCCCAAGGCGACGAUCGGUAGCUGGUCUGAGAGGACGAUCAGCCACACUGGGACUGAGACACGGCCCAG
rnacentral:rRNA from 1 species